rnacentral:rRNA from 1 species
AGAGUUUGAUCCUGGCUCAGGAUGAACGCUAGCGGCAGGCUUAACACAUGCAAGUCGAGGGGCAGCAUAAGGGUAGCAAUAUCUUUGAUGGCGACCGGCGGAAGGGUGCGUAACGCGUGAGCAACAUGCCCGUAUCCGGGGGAUAACCGAGAGAAAUUUCGACUAAUACCCCAUAACAACAAUGGAGGCAUCUCCGAUGUUUGAAAGUUUCGACAGAUACGGAUUGGUUCGCGUGGCAUUAGCUAGUUGGAGUGGUAACGGCACACCAAGGCGACGAUGCCUAGGGGUUCUGAGAGGAAGGUCCCCCACAUUGGAACUGAGACACGGUCCAAACUCCUACGGGAGGCAGCAGUGAGGAAUAUUGGUCAAUGGACGGAAGUCUGAACCAGCCAUGCCGCGUGCAGGAAUAAGGCCCUAUGGGUCGUAAACUGCUUUUGUGGUGGAGCAAUAAGGCGUACGUGUACGUCGAUGAGAGUACAUCACGAAUAAGCAUCGGCUAACUCCGUGCCAGCAGCCGCGGUAAUACGGAGGAUGCAAGCGUUAUCCGGAUUUAUUGGGUUUAAAGGGUGCGUAGGCUGUGUGGCAAGUCAGCGGUGAAAUGCCGGAGCUUAACUCCGGAACUGCCGUUGAUACUGUCAUGCUGGAAUACGGAUGCCGUGGGAGGAAUGAGUAGUGUAGCGGUGAAAUGCAUAGAUAUUACUCAGAACACCGAUUGCGAAGGCAUCUCACGAAUCCGUCAUUGACGCUGAGGCACGAAAGCGUGGGGAUCAAACAGGAUUAGAUACCCUGGUAGUCCACGCAGUA